rnacentral:rRNA from 1 species
AUUGAACGCUGGCGGCAGGCCUAACACAUGCACGUCGAACGAGUGGCGGCCGGGUGAGUAAUGUCUGGGCAACUGCCUGAUGGAGGGGGAUCACUACUGGAAACGGUAGCUAAUACCGCAUACCAUCGGAUGUGCCCAGAUGGGAUGAGCUAGUAGGUGUGGUAAAGGCUAACCUUGGCGACGAUCCCUAGCUGGUCUGAGAGGAGGACCAGCCACACUGGAACUGAGACACGGUCCAGACUCCUACGGGAGGCAGCAGUGGGUAAUAUUGGACAAUGGGCGAAAGCCUGAUCCAGCCAUGCCGCGUGUGUGAAGAAGGUCUUCGGAUUGUAAAGCACUUUAAGUUGGGAGGCGUUACCAACAGAAUAAGCACCGGCUAACUUCGUGCCAGCAGCCGCGGUAAUUC